CGAAGAAGAGAUGGAGGUGGACCCUCAGGCAGAUAUGGAUGAGAUGAUGGAUGUGGAUGUUGAAGAGAGAGUUGAAGAGAUGGAGGUGGAGAUGGAAGCUGAUGUGGAAGAGAUGGAAGUAGAUCAGGAAGAUGAGGUGGAAGACAUGAUCCUGGGAUAAGGACACCCCGCCUCAGCAGCAGGACUGACGGACGUGCCGGCCACGGAAUCGGCCACUUGUACAUAUGUUUUACAUGUUGUUCUGUAAAUACAUUUUAUAUUAUUGAAUUUUUAAGAAGUUUGUUGGUUUUAUAAAGAAAAUAAUUUAGGAAGAUAGAUUUUUAAUUAAGAAGAUAAGUUUUUUAUUAAGAAAAUAGUUUUUUUAAGAAGAUAAGUUUCCUUUAUAAGAAGAUAGUUUUGUUCGAAGAAGAUAGUUGUUUUAUUUAGAAGAUAGUUGUUUUUAUUCAGAAGAUAUUUUUAUUCAGAAGACAAUUGUUUUUUAUAAGAAGAUGUUUGUUGAUAUUAAGACUGUUGUCAUCAAGAAGACUGUCGUUUCUAUAAAGAAGAGUACUGGUUUUAUUAAGAAAAUUCUGAAAAUAUCAAUAAAUUCUGGACACAUGU